UACGGAGGGGCUAGCGUUGUUCGGAAUUACUGGGCGUAAAGCGCGCGUAGGCGGACCUGCAAGUCGGGGGUGAAAGCCCGAGGCUCAACCCGGAACUGCCUUCGAUACUGCGGGUCUCGAGUCCGGGAGAGGUGAGUGGAAUUCCUAGUGUAGAGGUGAAAUUCGUAGAUAUUAGGAAGAACACCAGUGGCGAAGGCGGCUCACUGGCCCGGUACUGACGCUGAGGCGCGAAAGCGUGGGGAGCAAACAGG
rnacentral:rRNA from 1 species